UACAGACCCGGGUUCGAUUCCCGGCUGGUGCAUUUGCAUUUUGUGUUUUUCAAGUCUACUGUACUGUUUUAAUCUAAUCAGAGCAACAUUUAGAACUAGAUAAAACAACACUGUAACCAAGCUUAACUUGUGGUACUUAACCCUACCACACUUAAUAGAAAACAUCAAAUAAUCUAGAGUUAGUUGUUUCACCACAUUGCUUUGAUGUCUGGAUCAAAUCCGAAGAUGGAGUACAACAACACUGGUCUACAGGGGUUUCAUGUAUCUCACGCAGUAGGUGUAACUGGGUCAGGGCUUACAGUUCUUCUUCCGGAGAGGCUUUCUUGAACUACCGAAGGAAACUUAAAGGGUUUCACAGUGUAUCCGUCAAAUUAGUUUGCCAGAUCCGUGGUGGAACCCUCCAACGGAAUGCUCUCGACUCCUUCGCUGUUAGAUAAAGAGGCCAUUUGUGAAAUUGGGAACCCUACUUAUCCUAACCUUAACAAGCUUGUUUUCCAGAGAUGUUGUGACCAAGGGUUUGAAUGCCGACUGAAUGCCCUACUGGGUUCAAGUGGUACCAAUAAUGAGCCCCCAACCUUGGUUCCUGGUUUGCCAUCUUGCCAAAGCUGCAGAGGGAUGUUUGCAUGAUUUCUAGUGUUGAUUUUGGAUUUCAAUUGGAUGUACAAUUGAAAUUCAGAAAUGGAUUGUGGAAAAUUGAUAUUGUCCAUCAAUAUUUUUGAAUUAUGUUAAAACUUUAAAAAAUUAGAUCAACUGAAGAUCCGACUUAUCAAGAAGGUUGCAGACCUAGCCUUCCUUAAAAGAUGUGAAGACUUAGAUACAAAUAAAACACACAAACUAAAUCCAAAAACAGAAAUACUGUGGAAAACUGAUAUUGCUGAUUGACAAAUGUUACUGAGGUGUUCUCUCGUAUCGAUCACGAAUUCUGUAUGGCCAGGGUUGUUAAGCAGCAACAUUUAGGCAAAAUUGAAUUUGAUAUUCAAGCAGUUAUGAAGUUUCAAAGCUGGAUUUUACUGCUAAACUAUAUGCAGUUGUUGCCUUAGGGGGCAUCAAGAUGCUCGUCCAGAUUGUCCAUUGCUAUGUCUAAUGCUGUUUUUCCAGGUUUAUCAAUGAGCUCCUUUGAUAUCAUCAACAAUAUCAAUGUUAUGUCAAAAAUCUUAAUUGUAAUUUUAGCUGUCAAGUAGGGAGCAUUUCUUUAGUUGUGUUGGUGAUUAAAAAUACUUCGUACUUGCAGUUGAGAAAGUAAGGAUUUUUGAUAAAAAUUUGAUGUAUAUAAAAAUAUUGAUAUUGUUGAUGAUAUGAAAGGGACUGAUAAACCAAGGUAAAAUGAUAUGAGAUAUAGCAAUGGACAAAAUAUACAGUGAUGAAUGAAUGCUGCUUUAUAUUUAUAGUUAUUGGUGGUAAAACAAAAAAAAAAUUAUGAGUUGAAGCAUUUCAUCUAUGUGUUAAGCUAUCACAGGGUAUGGCUUGGAAAUUGUUCCACAAGAAGUUGUCUUGUGGAGCAAUGUAUCUGGUUUCUAUUUGUAAGGCCUCUCAAAAUGUCCAAACUCUCAAGAAAUUGGGACCAAGAAGCAUGUUUGUCUGGGUCUGUAAUUCUAUUUGAUUUCUUUAUAAACAAGUAAGCUAUUGAAAACCAAUUCUCAGGUAAAAAAUCCUUCUCGGAAUACUUUGGAUUUUUUAAUUUAUCAUGUAUAGAUCUAUGUAAAAAAGAUAAUAAAUUGAUUUUUUUAUUGUA